rnacentral:rRNA from 1 species
AGAGUUUGAUCCUGGCUCAGGACGAACGCUGGCGGCGUGCCUAACACAUGCAAGUCGUGCGAGGACACUUGGGAAGCUUGCUUUCCGGGUGUUCGAGCGGCGGACGGGUGAGUAACGCGUGAGCAACCUGCCUUUAACAGGGGGAUAACGCAUCGAAAGAUGUGCUAAUACCGCAUAAGACCACAUCUUCACAUGGAGGAGGGGUCAAAGGAGCAAUCCGGUUAAAGAUGGGCUCGCGUCCGAUUAGCUGGUUGGUGAGACAACAGCCCCACCAAGGCGACGAUCGGUAGCCGACCUGAGAGGGUGAUCGGCCACAUUGGAACUGAGACACGGUCCAGACUCCUACGGGAGGCAGCAGUGGGGAAUAUUGGGCAAUGGGCGAAAGCCUGACCCAGCAACGCCGCGUGAGGGAAGAAGGGUUUCGGCUCGUAAACCUCUGUCCUAUGGGACGAAGGAAGUGACGGUACCAUAGGAGGAAGCCCGGCUAACUACGUGCC